rnacentral:rRNA from 1 species
GAUGAACGCUGGCGGCGUGCUUAACACAUGCCAGUCGAACGGGAAACCUUUUAUUGAAGCUUCGGCAGAUUUAGCUGGUUUCUAGUGGCGGACGGGUGAGUAACGCGUGGGUAACCUGCCUUAUACAGGGGGAUAACAACCAGAAAUGGUUGCUAAUACCGCAUAAGCGCACAGGACCGCAUGGUCCGGUGUGAAAAACUCCGGUGGUAUAAGAUGGACCCGCGUUGGAUUAGCUGGUUGGCAGGGUAACGGCCUACCAAGGCGACGAUCCAUAGCCGGCCUGAGAGGGUGAACGGCCACAUUGGGACUGAGACACGGCCCAGACUCCUACGGGAGGCAGCAGUGGGGAAUAUUGCACAAUGGGGGAAACCCUGAUGCAGCGACGCCGCGUGAAGGAAGAAGUAUCUCGGUAUGUAAACUUCUAUCAGCAGGGAAGAUAGUGACGGUACCUGACUAAGAAGCCCCGGCUAACUACGUG